CCUAGAAGAAAGAAUCCGACUGGCAAGCUUCAGUGAGAUGCUCUUUGCUCCAGUGAGCUAAGCCCCUGGGGUUUUAGCUGGGACCAUGGUUGAGGAUAGCCAGUUCCUGGAGAACGGAGAGGGCACUGUGUGCAGGUCAGACAAUGGGGAGUCACUUUUGUGAAUGGACUCUUCUGCCAGCAACUCACAUCUCUUCUUAGAAGGUCCUGCUCUUCCUUUUUCCAGACAGCAGAGUUUUCUGUCUCUUGAUUCAACCCUUGCUGAGGCUCUAAUUGAUGUCUCACAGGUACCAGCCUCUGUGGAGGAUUCUGAGAUGGAGACACUCCUCACACCCCUGUGAAGAUAAGGGAAAGGAGGAGAGACUACAGAGAGCUUACUCAUGUUGGAGGGAGGAAGAGAGGCUGCAGAAUGUGGAAGCCAGUUCUCCUGAUUCAAUGAGUCUGUUUCUGAUCCCUCGGCACCACCACAAACCUAUUGAAUCAGCAUCUGUGGGCCUGGGGUCCUGGCAUCUGGCUGUGUAA
rnacentral:lncRNA from 13 species